GACGAACCGUGCAAACGUUAUUCGGAAUCACUGGGCUUAAAGGGCGCGUAGGCGGGCAACCAAGUCCGAGGUGAAAUCCUCCAGCUUAACUGGAGAAGUGCCCCGGAUACUGGUGGCCUCGAGGAUGGUAGGGGCAUCUGGAACUAGCGGUGGAGCGGUGAAAUGCGUUGAUAUCGCUAGGAACGCCGGUGGCGAAGGCGAGGUGCUGGACCAUUUCUGACGCUGAGGCGCGAAAGCCAGGGGAGCGAACGGG
rnacentral:rRNA from 1 species